rnacentral:rRNA from 1 species
UACCCGCAGCACAAGUGGUGGUCAUUAUUAUUGGGCCUAAAGCGUCCGUAGCUGGCUUGUUAGAUGCCUGGGUAAAUCGAUGCGCUUAACGCAUCGAAUUCCGGGUAGACCGGCAAGCUCGAGACCGGGAGAGGCGUGAGCUACUCGAGGGGUAGGGGUAAAAUCCUGUAAUCCUUCGGGGAGGACCAGUGGCGAAGGCGUCACGCUAGAACGGCUCCGACAGUGAGGGACGAAGCCCUGGGGCGCAAACCGG